rnacentral:sRNA from 1 species
GACUGUAGUCGUUGCAGAUCAAUCCUUAGGUCGCUGGUUCGAAUCCGGCAGGUCGGAAUAUGAUUUUAAUUUUUCCUUUUU